AUGUCGUCCUAUUUCCACAGGGCUCUGGUCAAUGCCAGGGAUGCACUCUCUCCCUGUCUCUGCCAGGCAUUCAGCUCUCUGCCAGUCAUUCAGCUCUCUCCCUGUCUCUGCCAGGCAUUCAGCUCUCUCCCUGUCUCUCCCUGUCUCUGCCAGGCAUUCAGCUCUCUCCCUGUCUCUCCCUGCCUCUGCCUGUCAUUCAGCUCUCUCCCUGUCUCUGCCUGUCAUUCAGCUCUCUCCCUGUCUCUCCCUGUCUCUGCCAGGCAUUCAGCUCUCUCCCUGUCUCUCAAAAUGACCUGCAUGAACAUGGGUCCAUUGUUUAAACCCAGUACAGGACAGAGAGCUUUGUUAAUUUACACUCUAAAUAUUAUCUUUUGACAAGAAAUACACCCAAAAUCAUGUUUUUUUUUUGUAUCAGCCAUUAUUAGCUAAAUCAAUUUCUUGCAUCCAAAAUUCAACUUGUUUUUGUUCCUCAGGGUAAAUGAACGCUUUUGGUUUCAAAUGCUUUAGAUUCUACCGCUAAGACAUUUCAAAAAGCAAUAAUGAUCUCGUCCACCUGCAGGUUCUGCUUAAAGAACGACUUCUGUCUCAAAUCUGAAAUCACAUUUCAUAGUUGGAGUUAUGGUUUUUAAAUCUCCUUUUUAACAGGCAUUUUGCCCUGAAUAGAUAUUAUUUCAGUUAGUCUUUUUAUUUAAUUUUAAAUAGUUUCUUGUAAGUGUCCUUGUACAUACUGCAUAUUUUGUAAAGAAAGUAAGAAUGCGGUUUACUUCUGUUACGAAUAAAUGGAGUUUGUUGUUCUGAGAUGCAUCUCUUAAAUCUAAAAUAUGUACACAUUUAAUUAGUCUUUCAAAUGAAUUAAAUUAUAACUGCUAUUAGUCAAUACAUCACCUGGUGAGAAAUGUCAUUUUUCUCCAUUUCUUUUUGGUUUCUAGUGUCAGAGUCAAAACAGAAAUCCCUGCUGAAUAACCCGCUCAACAUUCCAAAGGGAAAUGAACUGAGUGUUGGUAAGGAUGGAGGGGUGGGAAAGGGAAAUGAACUGAGUGUUGGUAAGGAUGGAGGGGCAGGAAAGGGAAAUGAACUGAGUGUUGGUAAGGAUGGAGGGGUGGGAAAGGGAAAUGAACUGAGUGUUGGUAAGGAUGGAGGGGUGGGAAAGGGAAAUGAACUGAGUGUUGGUAAGGAUGGAGGGGCGGGAAAGGGAAAUUAACUGAGUGUUGGUAAGGAUGGAGGGGCAGGAAAGGGAAAUGAACUGAGUGUUGGUAAGGAUGGAGGGGCAGGAAAGGGAAAUUAAUUGAGUGUUGGUAAGGAUGGAGGGGUGGGAAAGGGAAAUGAACUGAGUGUUGGUAAGGAUGGAGGGGUGGGAAAGGGAAAUGAACUGAGUGUUGGUAAGGAUGGAGGGGCAGGAAAGGGAAAUGAACUGAGUGUUGGUAAGGAUGGAGGGGCAGGAAAGGGAAAUGAACUGAGUGUUGGUAAGGAUGGAGGGGUGGGAAAGGGAAAUGAACUGAGUGUUGGUAAGGAUGGAGGGGCAGGAAAGGGAAAUUAACUGAGUGUUGGUAAGGAUGGAGGGGUGGGAAAGGGAAAUGAACUGAGUGUUGGUAAGGAUGGAGGGGCAGGAAAGGGAAAUUAACUGAGUGUUGGUAAGGAUGGAGGGGUGGGAAAGGGAAAUGAACUGAGUGUUGGUAAGGAUGGAGGGGCGGGAAAGGGAAAUUAACUGAGUGUUGGUAAGGAUGGAGGGGCGGGAAAGGGAAAUGAACUGAGUGUUGGUAAGGAUGGAGGGGUGGGAAAGGGAAAUGAACUGAGUGUUGGUAAGGAUGGAGGGGUGGGAAAGGGAAAUGAACUGAGUGUUGGUAAGGAUGGAGGGGUGGGAAAGGGAAAUGAACUGAGUGUUGGUAAGGAUGGAGGGGUGGGAAAGGGAAUACGCCCCCCUGUAACACAAUUCUAUUUGUUUUUAUUUGUGUGAAGUAAUAAAAAUGUGUUCACUCAAUCAAAUGCAGACUGGUGUAUAUAUAUAUCAAGGCAUUUUAAAUUGUAAGUCUUGACAGAAAUGGUUGUGUUGUUGACAUCACAUGAAGUUGAUAACAUGAGAUAUUACUGAUUUACGUCUUUAUGGGAAGCUAGUAGCUAUCUUAUCUCUGUGAAACCAAAACGCCGGCCUAGAGGAGGAGGGCGCGAUCACUGGAGAUGGGAAGGGAUAACACCGUCCUCCGCCCAGCCAGGCAGACGAACGUACGCAGUCCUAGAUCACUGGAGAUGGGAAGGGAUAACACCGUCCUCCGCCCAGCCAGGCAGACGAACGUACGCAGUCCUAGAUCACUGGAGAUGGGAAGGGAUAACACCGUCCUCCGCCCAGCCAGGCAGACGAACGUACGCAGUCCUAGAUCACUGGAGAUGGGAAGGGAUAACACCGUCCUCCGCCCAGCCAGGCAGACGAACGUACGCAGUCCUAGAUCACUGGAGAUGGGAAGGGAUAACACCGUCCUCCGCCCAGCCAGGCAGACGAACGUAUGCAGUCCUAGAUCACUGGAGAUGGGAAGGGAUAACACGG
rnacentral:lncRNA from 1 species